CUCGUACCAAACAAUGCAAAUCUGCCCAAGAUAUUCCAGAUCAUCGCUGAAGGGGUCGCCAACGAGUUGGUCAAGAGUGAGGACGCGUGCAGCAAGAGAUUGGCAAAUGUCAUCCGCCAAGUACAGGGAUCUGGAGGACUGUGGACACAGUGUGUAACGAUGCUGAAUGAGACUCAACAGAAGGCCAUCCAGGACCUCCUCAACACCGCUUGAGAAGCCUUAUCCCCUUCCUUUGUUUGUUGGAAAGCAACGAUACCAUGU